CAAGAAGAUUUUCAAAGUUUUUCCCUAUAUAAAUCUAUGUAAAUUAUAGAAAUAAACAAAGGGCCAUAACUUACUAAAAAAUUGUUGAACCAGUCUGAUUUUCAGGGGGACACAACUAGGGUACCAAUACAUCAUUCUGACAAAGUUUGGUCAAAAUCCCCCAGGUAGUUUCUGAGGAGAUGCGAUAACGAGAAAUUGUUAACGGACGGAAGGACGGACGGACUGACGGACGGACGGAAGGACGACGGACCACGGACACAGAGUGAUUUGAAUAGCCCACCAUCUGAUGAUGGUGGGCUAAAAAGUGCGCCAAAUACUGUUAUAACUGCGCGUACACAUACGUUUUCAUCAUUUUUCAGACCGAGUAAUUUUUGCUAUGGGAGGUAAUCCACCAUUCCGCGAUGAUAACUUGCCACAGGUGCCCGUAAUAUUUUGGCCUCAUUUUGUUGGUAAUCAUCCCUGCAGAUGUACAUUUAUGUUACCAGUUUAAUGUAUUUCAUCUAUCUGAGGGUGCAAAUAUUUUCUGAUGGUGAUAUUCGAAGGCAGAACCACCAGAAAUCUUGUUCUUUUUCCACGGGUGUUUCGUAUCCUAAUUUACUGGAACCUAACUGUAUACGCCAGUUCGGUAGGUUCAUUGAUAUGAUGAAUCACCGUUUUCAUAGUGUUUAAUGUAUUUCUUAUAUUAUGAUAAUGAUAGUUUGAAAUACAAGCGUAUAUUAAAUAACCUAAAAUUGAAACAGACAAUGUUAUUUUGAUCAACAGGCAUAACAAACAAUAUGGAUAAUAAUAUCAUCAUAUAUCAUGUGUAUUUUUAAGAAAACAGUUACUGAAUUUUAGCAAUAGCUGGAAUGGAAAAAAAAUCUAUAAAAAUAUUUUUACAGGUGUUUGUGUGUUAACUAAUGACGACUCCUUAUUAAAAUGAUGCUUAUUUGUAACAUAAAAAACAUUCCUUGACUUUUUUAAUUGAUAAGUAUUGUACACAUUAGAAAACAUAGCCUAGAUUUUUUUCAAUGUCAGUUCAAGGAAAUCCUGUUCCUUUAAACUUUCACAUAUUGGAAUAUUUUGACUUUCUUUCUAAACUUUCAUAAAGUGUUACAAAGUUUACCUGUUUCUGUUAGACUGUCAAGAACACAUGAUGUCAGGACAUAGAGUGCAAACAGAAGUAUUGAAGAGAUUGAAAUACAUUGUCUAGCUUUAUCUUUUCAUUUUAUCAAACCUGGCAAUGAAAGGUUUUUGUUUGUUGAUGAACAACUGCUAUUGGAUAAGACUAGAUUUUUUAGCUCACCUGUCACAAAGUGACAAGGUGAGCUUUUGUGAUCGCGCGGUGUCCGUCGUCCGUCCGUGCGUGCGUCCGUCCGUCCGUCCGUAAACUUUUGCUUGUGACCACUCUAGAGGUCACAUUUUUCAUGGGAUCUUUAUGAAAGUUGGUCAGAAUGUUCAUCUUGAUGAUAUCUAGGUCAAGUUCGAAACUGGGUCAUGUGCCGUCAAAAACUAGGUCAGUAGGUCUAAAAAUAGAAAAACCUUGUGACCUCUCUAGAGGCCAUAUAUUUCACAAGAUCUUCAUGAAAAUUGGUCAGAAUGUUCAACUUGAUGAUAUCUAGGUCAAGUUCGAAACUGGGUCACGUGCCGUCAGAAACUAGGUCAGUAGGUCUAAAAAUAGAAAAACCUUCUGACCUCUUUAGAGGCCAUAUAUUUCACAAGAUCUUCAUGAAAAUUGGUCAGAAUGUUCACCUUGAUAAUAUCUAGGUCAAGUUCGAAACUGGGUCACGUGCCGUCAAAAACUAGGUCAGUAGGUCUAAAAAUAGAAAAACCUUGUGGCCUCUCUAGAGGCCAUAUAUUUCACAAGAUCUUCAUGAAAAUUGGUCAGAACGUUCACCUUGAUGAUAUCUAGGUCAAGUUCGAAACUGGGUCACGUGUUGUCAAAAACUAGGUCAGUAGGUCAAAUAAUAGAAAAACCUUGUGACCUCUCUGAAGGCCAUAUUUUUCAUGGGAUCUGUAUCAAAGUUGGUCUGAAUGUUCAUCUUGAUGAUAUCUAGGUCAAGUUCGAAACUGGGUCACGUGCGGUCAAAAACUUUGUCAGUAGGUCUAAAAAUAGAAAAACCCUGUGACAUCACUAGAGGCCAUAUAUUUCAUGAGAUCUUCAUGAAAAUUGGUCAGAAUCUUCAUCUUGAUGAUAUCUAGGUCAAGUUUGAAAGUGGGUCACGUGCCUACAAAAACUAGGUCAGUAGGUCAAAUAAUAGAAAAACCUUGUGACCUCUCUAGAGGCCAUAUUUUUCAUGGGAUCUGUAUGAAAGCUGGUCUGAAUGUUCAUCUUGAUGAUAUCUAGGUCAAGUUCAAAAGUGGGUCACAUGCCAUCAAAAACUAGGUCAGUAGGUCAAAUAAUAGAAAAACCUUGUGACCUCUCUAAAGACCAUAUUUUUCAUGGGAUCUGUAUGAAAAUUGGUUUGAAUGUUCAUCUUGAUGAUAUCUAGGUCAGGUUCGAAACAGGGUCAUGUGCGGUCAAAAACUAGGUCAGUAGGUCUAAAAAUAGAAAAACCUUGUGACCUCUCUAGAGGCCAUACUUGUGAAUGGAUCUCCAUAAAAAUUGGUCAGAAUGUUCACCUUGGUGAUAUCUAGGUCAAGUUUGAAACUGGGUCAUGUGCCAUCAAAAACUAGGUCAGUAGGUCAAAUAAUAAAAAAACCUUGUGACCUCUCUAGAGGCCAUACUUUUCAUGGGAUCUGUAUGAAAGUUGGUCUGAGUGUUCAUCUUGAUGAUAUCUAGGUUAAAUUUGAAACUGGGUCAGCUGCGAUCAAAAACUAGGUCAGUAGGUCUAAAAUUAUUAAAACCUUUUGACCUCUCUAGAGGCCAUAUUUUUCAAUGGCUCUUCAUGAAAAUUGAUCUGAAUGUUCACCUUAAUGAUAUCUAGGUCAGUUUUGAAACUGGGUCACGUGCGGUCAAAAACUAGGCCAGUAGGUAUAAAAAUAGAAAAACCUUGUGACCUCUCUAGAGGCCAUAUUUUUCAUGAGAUCUUCAUGAAAAUUAGUGAGAAUGUUCACCUUGAUGAUAUCUAGGUAAAGUUUAAAAGAGGGUCACGUACCUUCGAAAAUUAGGUCAAUAGACCAUAUUUUUCAAUGGAUCUUCAUGAAAAUUGGUCAGAAUUUUUAUCUUGAUAAUAUCUAGGUCAAGUUCAAAACUGGGUCACAUGAGCUCAAAAGCUAGGUCACUAUGUCAAAUAAUAGAAAAAACGACGUCAUACUCAAAACUGGGUCAUGUGGGAAGAGGUGAGCGAUUCAGGACCAUCAUGGUCCUCUUGUUAUCUUUACCUUCUGAACAAAAUAUAGAAGUGUAUUGAACACAAAGUUAAUAAUUUUUAUUGUUGUGCACUGUUAAAGUUUUGAUCACUCCAUUUCUUGCCACACACAAGUGCAUUACAUAAUGCCUGUAUGUACUUCCCUGAUAUGAAUGGGUUACAUCAAGUCUUGAAACUGCAAAGCAUUGCCCCCAUCAGUCCUCUCAGUACUUUGAUUAAUAUCAGUAGUAACUAAACAAACCAGUAAGAGCUUCUUCUUCCGAUAAUUUAUCCAUUUACUGACUGCAAAAUUCAACCCACGCAAAGUUUAUAGAAAUCAUACGAUGCGUGUUUACGUUCAAUGUGGGAGAAUUAAGGCUGAUCGGCUAUGUUACCUAACGCAUCCUGACGAUUCAGAUUUUGUUUUUAAAAAAGCAUUGUGUGCGUUUCUGUAAUUUUAUAUACGUUUUUAUACGCUUAGAAAUUAUUAGACAUGCGUAUUUGCAUUAUUUCUAUACGUAAUUUACGCUAAUACGCAUCUUAUCUGGAGCCCUGUGGAACUAUUUUUUGUAUUUCGCUGGAUGUAACCCAAGCUUUGUAAGCCUGCGCAAUUCUUAAAAUGCAUAUUUAUGCUUAAUGAGUUACAUUCGAGAAUUGCACAAUUACAAGUCAUAAAUAUGACAGAUUACAUCGUAUAUUGGUCAUAGCAAAGGGAAUUGUCACAACUUAACUUCAUUCAUGCAGUGAACUGUUUGAAGUUUGAGAAAUCUAAUGGAACUACAUCCCUUCACUGUGUUAUUUGGUCCAUUUAGAGAAUCGUUGGAUAGCAAGGACUCGUCAAAAGGCUUUCAGCCUUUAGCCGACUCAAAAAAUUGCAAAGUAGAGUUAUGGGACUUACACAGUGCAUGUCAGAUCAUGACAAUGAACAAGUGUGUGCAGUUUCAAUCCAUUCCCAUUAGUGGGUACUGAGAUACCAGCUUAAAUACAAAACCUUAACCAAGAAUUUUAAGUCAAAAAAGGGGCAUAAUUCUGAAAAAAUUUCAAAGUAGAGUUAUGGGACUUACACAGGGCAUGUCAGAUCAUGACAGUGAACAAGUGUGUGAAGUUUCAAUCCAUUCCCAUUAGUGGGUACUGAGAUACCAGCUUACAUAAAAAACCUUAACCUUAAGUCUAAGUUAAAAAGGGGACAUAAUUUUGUAAAAAAGCAAAACAGAGUUAUGGAACCUGUGCAAUGUAGGUCAGUUUAUCACAGUGAAUAAGUGUGUGAAGUUUCAAUCCUUUCCCGAAAGUGGUUACUGAGAUACCAGCUUACAUACAAAACCUUAACCAAGAAUUUCUAAGUUGAAAAGGGGACAUAAUUUUGUAACAAGAGAUCACAGAGUGAUCUUGGCGCCCACCAAUGUGCCAUUUUUGAGUGUUCCAAAUUUCAAGACUUACUGACUAGCUCAAGGUCAAAUUUCAUUUCAGUACACAACACUGUGCAUGUGGUCCAAAUUCGAAAGCUGUAGCUUGAGAAAUGUGAAAGUAGGUCACUAGGUCAAUGUCAAGGUCAAAGUUUGUUUCGGUACACAAUCUUAUGCAUGUAGUCUAAAUUUGAAGCCUGUAACUACAGAAAUGCAAAAGUAGAUCACUAGGUCAAUCUUAAGGUCAAGUUCAUUUCAGUACACAAAACUAUACAAGUGGUCCAAAUUUGAAGGCUGUAGCUUGAGAAAUGCAAAAGUAGGUCACUAGGUCAAAAUCAAUGUCAAAUUUUAUUUCAGAAUACAAAACUAUGCAUGUGGUCCAAAUUUGUAGCCUGUACCUUCAAAAAUGUGAAAGUAGGUCACUAGGUCAAUGUAAAGGUCAAAGUUCAUUUUGGUACACAAAACUAUGCAUGUGGUCCAAAUUUGAAGGCUAUAGCUUGAGAAAUGUGAAAGUAGGUCACUAGGUCAAAAUCAAGGUCAAAUUUUAUUUCGGAAUACAAAACUAUGCAUGUGGUCCAAAUUUGAAGCCUGUACCUUAAAAAUGUGAAAGUAGGUCACUAGGUCAAUGUAAAGGUCAAAGUUCAUUUCAGUACACAAAAAUAUGCAAGUGGUCCAAAUUUGAAGGCUGUAGCUUGAGAAAUCUAAAAGUAGGUCACUGGGUCAAAAUCAAGGUCAAAUUUUAUUUCGGAAUACAAAACUAUGCAUGUGGUCCAAAUUUUAAGCCUGUACCUUCAAAAAUGUGAAAGUAGGUCACUAGGUCAAAAUCAAGGUCAAAGUUUUUUCCAGUGCACAAAACUAUGCAGGUGGUCCAAAUUUGAAGGCUGUAGCUACAGAAAUGUGAAAGUAGGUCACUAGGUCAAAAUCAAGGUCAACUCAUGUCAAGGUUCAUCUUGCCACUCAAAAAUAUACAUGUGGUCCAAAUUUGAAGGCUGUAGCUACAGAAAUGUGAAAGUAGGUCACUAGGUCAAAAUCAAGGUCAACUCAUGACAAGGUUCAUUUUGCCACUCAAAAAUACAUAUGUGGUCCAAAUUUGAAUGUUGUAGUUAUUGACAAGAACAUUUUAAAAGCUUUUCCCUACAUAAGUCUAUAAUGAACCAUGUGACCCCCGGGGCGGGGCCAUUUUUGACCGUAGGGCGAUAAUUUGAACAAACUUGGUAGAGAACCACUAGAUGAUGCUACAUUACCAGUAUCAAAGCCUUAGGCUUUGUGGUUUGGACAAGAAGAUUUUCAAAGUUUUUCCCUAUAUAAGUCUAUGUAAACCAUAUGACCCCCAGGGCGGGGUCAUAUUUGACCCUAGGGGUAUAAUUUGAACAAUCUUAGUUGAAGACCACUAGAUGAUGUCACAUACAAAAUAUCAAAGCCCUAGGCCCUGUGGUUUUGGACAAGAGGUUAUUCAAAGUUUUUCCC